rnacentral:snRNA from 1 species
GUGCUCGCUCUGGCAGCACAUCCACUAAAACUGGAAUGAUAAAGAGAUUAGCAUCCUGCACAAGGAUGACAGGCAAAUUCGGGAAGCGUUCCAUACUUUU